UACGUAGGGGGCAAGCGUUGUCCGGAAUUAUUGGGCGUAAAGAGCGUGUAGGCGGUUUGGUAGGUCCGCUGUGAAAACUCGAGGCUCAACCUCGAGACGCCGGCGGAAACCAUCAGACUAGAGUCCGGAAGAGGAGAGUGGAAUUCCUGGUGUAGCGGUGAAAUGCGCAGAUAUCAGGAAGAACACCCGUGGCUAAGGCGGCUCUCUAGUACGGUACUGACGCUGAGACGCGAAAGCGUGGGGAGCGAACAGG
rnacentral:rRNA from 1 species